rnacentral:rRNA from 1 species
GAUGAACGCUAGCGGCAGGCCUAACACAUGCAAGUCGAGGGGUAACAUAGGAAAGCUCGCUUUUCUGAUGACGACCGGCGCACGGGUGCGUAACGCGUAUACAACCUACCUUUUAGCGGGGAAUAGCCCAGGGAAACUUGGAUUAAUGCCCCAUAGUAUAUAGACUUCUCCUGAAGUUUAUAUUAAACAUUUAUGGCUAUUAGAUGGGUAUGCGUCCUAUUAGUUAGUUGGUAAGGUAACGGCUUACCAAGGCAGCGAUAGGUAGGGGUCCUGAGAGGGAGAUCCCCACACUGGUACUGAGACACGGACCAGACUCCUACGGGAGGCAGCAGUGAGGAAUAUUGGACAAUGGGCGAGAGCCUGAUCCAGCCAUGCCGCGUGCAGGAAGACUGCCCUAUGGGUUGUAAACUGCUUUUACAGAGGAAGAACCACCCUCACGUGUGGGGGUUUGACGGUACUCUGCGAAUAAGGAUCGGCUAACUCCGUG